rnacentral:rRNA from 1 species
AUGAUUCUUCGUUCAUUAUCAUGUCGAUUCCUCACAAUCGCUCUUUGUGAUGCUGUGGAACCAUGGCAAUUAGGAUCUCAAUACACAGGAACACCUAUGAUGCAAGGAAUCAUUGACUUACAUCAUGAUAUCUUUUUCUUCCUCAUUCUUAUUUUGGUUUUCAUAUCAUGGAUGUUGGUUCGCGCUUUAUGGCAUUUCAACGAGCAAACUAAUCCAAUCCCACAAAGGAUUGUUCAUGGAACUACUAUCGAAAUUAUUCGGACCAUAUUUCCAAGUGUCAUUCUUUUGUUCAUUGCUAUACCAUCGCUUGCUUUGUUAUACUCAAUGGACGGGGUAUUAGUAGAUCCGACCAUUACUAUCAAAGCUAUUAGAAAUCAAUGGCGGGCGUCGACCUAA